CACGUAGGGGCCAAGCGUUGUCCGGAUUUAUUGGGCGUAAAGAGCUCGUAGGCGGCUCGGUUAAGUCGGGUGUGAAACCUCCAGGCUACAACCUGGAGACGCCCACCUGAUACUGCGUGUGGCUAGAGUCCGGUAGGGGGAGCGUGGAAUUCCUGGUGUAGCGGUGAAAAUGCGCAGAUAUCAGGAGGAACACCAGCGGCGAAGGCGGCGCUCGUGGGCCGGAACUGACGCUGAGGAGCGAAAGCGUGGGUAGCAAACAGG
rnacentral:rRNA from 1 species